rnacentral:lncRNA from 10 species
CCUCUGCCUUUUGGGUCAACACUGAGGGGAGUAAAUGAAUGGCACCUGCUCCUUCUCUGUCUGAAGCUUGGACUUCUCCUGAGAGGACUUCCUGCUCCAAGAUAGGAGGGAGUCUCACUCAGAAGAGGAAGGAGCUCCUGUCUGCUGAGGACACGGUUCCAUCCAAUGAGGAGUCCUCAUUAGAGGGAAGCAGAAAGACCAAAGUCAGAGACGGAGAUGUGGCCGUAGAAGCAGAGGUCCAUGUGCUGCGGGGCCAUGAGCCAAGGAACCCACGCCGCCUCUGGGAACUGGGAAAGGCAAGGGAGCAACGUCUCCCUGGAGCUCCAGAGUGAGCCAGCCCUGAUGACACCGUGACUUCAGCCCUCGGAGACUGACUGUGGACAUCGGACCUCUGUCACUAUUUUCUGCAAACUAGGAAUAGAAGCAAGCUUCUUAACCUGAUGUAUCGCACCUUCAAAAAGCCUACAGCAAACAUCUUACUUAGUGAUGAAAAACUGAUUGCCUUCCCCAUAAGAUUGAGAACCAGGAACUGUCCAGGAAGACCCUGCAGUCUCUCUGCAGGCUCAUGGGAGCUCCCAGAACUGAGACAACACACGGAUCCAGGCCUGCUUCGAAGUCAGUGGGAUGCGGCCCUUGAAAGUCGAUGUAUUGGGUUCCUAGGGCUCUCGUGAAAACAUGCCACACCUGGCUGGUUUUAAACAACAGGAGUUUAUUCUGUCAGUUGAGAAGGCUACAAGUGCAAAAUCAAGGAUCCUUCCAGGUGGAAGGAUGCCCUUUGACCUGCAAAGCCAGGCAGAAAACCAGGAUCAGGGCAGGACAAGAGGAUGCUAGCCUGUGAUGGCUCCCACUCAGGUGGGAUGUGAGAAGUGCCUGUGGCCUGGGACACACCAACUUGCUCCCGUUACCUCAUCUGAGAUGGACUGCACAGUGUAUGUCCAGGGCCCAACCCGGUACACUGUGCCUUUGCAAUGCUGUCUCUGUGCUUUGGAAAUUCACUCAGCCCACUGCGUGGGGUGGUCUGAGGCGGGCCACAACCAUUUCUCAACCAUCCCUGAGUACCUGACCAGUAUCCCUCGGGGGUGACGACGACCGCCUACAUCUGGAGCAUGAGGAGCGUGUUUACCUGGUGAGUAAGGAUGCAAGCAUAGGACGUCCUGGCCGAUCCUCUGCACAAGCAAUGCCUUUGCUCCAACGGGAUGGGCAACGUUGGAUUAGGCCUGAGGCAGAUUUGAUCUCGGAAGAUACAUUCGAGUCUAUGUGUUUUGUGCAUUUAUUUUUGUUUCCUUGAAUUAACAUGGAGUCCAUUUCAACUUUCACUUAGUCUCCUUUCUCUUCCCCCACUUCUUUCUCUCUCUCUCUUUCUUUGUAUGUGGAAGAAUUUUAACUCUGUGUUCCAUAAUGUCUAAAUACUCAAAUUUAGAGUUGACAGCCAUACAGCAAAUUAUUCAAGUUGCUGUCAAAAAAAAAAAAUCCCUGCGUUUUCUAGGAUUAAAACUGUGAAUAGAGUACUGGAAGAAAAAAAAGUCAUAGACUCAGAUGCAAAAUGACAACAUUUAAUGGGAUGAUAAGGAAAUAAGACUUGACAAGAAACCAUAGCCCACUGCAGACUGUUCACGAUGUCAGAUGGUUCAUGAUUUUUUUCCAGGUUUGAUACAGAAGAAUCAGUUUGUUACAAGAAAUGCUUCUCCAACUGGGAUUUAAAACAUCAUUUAAACAAUAAACACGUUUGUAUGUAUAUAUAAAUAGAUAUUUAGAUAUAAAAACAUGCAUAUAUAGGCACAUAGACAUGUACAUACACACACAUAUGUACAAAUAUAUAUGCCUAAAUUUUUACUGACCUGUCAACUUACAAAACAAAAAUGAGAGAUUUAUAAAAGGUACAUAUAUAGCUGUGAAUUCUUUAAAGCUAUUUUUAAAGAAAUUAAUAUAAUCUUAAUGAUUAUCAGAUUACUCAUGCAGUACACAGCUACACAAGUCUAAUGAAGUACCAGACACUUUUCUUUCUUCAACUAUUGUCCUAUCUUAUUCAGGUUUUCAUUUUCUUACUAGAUGUGUUUUCAAUGGUUUAUGACGUAAUAAAAUUUCUUUACCUCUUCUAGUAAUUGCUUUGUCUCACUCGGAAACUGAACUACUGUCGAUGUUGUAAAAAGCUAGGGCAUAUUCUUCU